GGGGAUUUAGCUCAGUGGUAGAGCGCUUGCCUAGGAAGCUACAAGGCCCUGGGUUCGGUCCCCAGCUCUG
rnacentral:tRNA from 1 species